UACAGAGGUCCCAAGCGUUGUUCGGAUUCAUUGGGCGUAAAGGGUGCGUAGGCGGUGGGGUAAGUUGGAUGUGAAAUCUUGGGGCUUAACCUCAAAAUUGCAUUCAAUACUGCUCCGCUCGAGUUCUGUAGAGGAGAUUGGAAUUUACGGUGUAGCAGUGAAAUGCGUAGAUAUCGUAAGGAACGCCAGUGGCGAAAAGCGAAUCUCUGGGCAGCAACUGACGCUGAGGCACGAAGGCCAGGGGGAGCAAAACGGGG
rnacentral:rRNA from 1 species